AAUGAAGAAUGCUAUGAUAUCAGCGAUUAAAUUACGACAGAAACCGCGGGGGGCAGUUGACAUUGUUGACCCAUCACAACAUUCCUUAAACACUUAAGUUCUUAGCGUUACUGUGUUGAUGAAACCUACGUAUAUAUUAAGGGUGCGAAGAUACAGUGAGUGCAGAACAGACUAUGUCAACCGUCAAGACUGCCGACUUAACAGAGCUUAAAUCAUUGGCCGCCCCCCCUCAAGAUGUGAAAUCCAUUUUACAUGCUGUAGUUUUAUUGCUGGGUUACCCUGAGAAGCUAGCAUCAAAUUGGAAGUUUGUCAGAAAAGUAAUGGUCCACAAAGGUGAACAGGGUAUGGUGCAUGGUAUGGAACAUUUUGACGCCAAAAAGGUCUCCAAAGCAUCUGCCAUCAGCGCAAGGGCUCUACUUGAUUCCUUAAAUGUUGAAAGGGUUAAACAAGUUAGCAGAGCUUCUGUUUCCUUCCUCUUAUGGGCUAAGAGUCACCUUGAAGAAGUAGAGGCAGCAGUUAUAUAACAGGGGUGGAUCCAGGAUUAUUUGAAGGGGGGUGCAGUCCUUUUUUAUUUUGACAAGAAAUAAUUUAAACAGCAAUCAAUAUGUUCUACAAGAAAUAUACCUGAUAAUAACAAUAAUCUGUCAUAUAUGUAUAGCAAUAAGUGCAAAAAUAAUUCCUGGGACAUGCAUCAGACAGUAAGAUACAUUACUGAUUAUCUCAAUAUUUUAUAGUGCAUUCAUCAAUACAUCAUGUAUUAUAUAUUGUUAGAUCAUAGCCAUUGUACCAAAUGUGCUAGUAUCAAUAAUAAUAAUAAUAAUAAUAAUAAUAAUAAUAAUAAGGUUAACAUGAGAAAUCUUGAUAUAACACUUAACAGAUUCAAUAUUAAUACAAAAAGUUGUGAAAUGAGAUUCUGGAUGAUUGCAAUUCCUAAUAAAUACUUGAAUGAAACUGAUGAAAUAUUUGUGGUAAAAAAGAAAACAAGCAGCCAAUAAAAUGUGUUCGUAUGGAUAGCUUUGAUGACAGCACCAGCUAGUCAUGUGAGAUAUUCCCGUUUUUUAUUGGGCAAAUAAGUAACAAAAGUAGGGUCAGCAUUGUGAGUCAUUACUUAAUGUGUUUAGAGUGAGUUAAGAGACACUUUACUGCCAUAUUAUAAUGAUUAAUAGUAGUUUGGUAGUUUCAUUUCCUGUCAAUUUUCUUGAGGGUUUCCGUCAGAUCGUAACUUUGCGUUUUUUACUUUUGCUGCAUAAUAGGUACGUUUUCUUUUAUGAUAUUUAAUAAAAAAUAUUUUCGCAAGGCUUUUUAUUCAAUGU